rnacentral:misc_RNA from 1 species
UUAAGUUCAGCGGGUAGUCCUACCUGAUUUGAGGUCAGAUUUCAAAGUUUGUUGCUUGACCGCCGCUCUGAUAGGCAGGGUCGGGGAAGGGCACAGGAAGGGGAACGUCUCUGUCGAGCGAGGAUGGUACAACGCCCAGUCGAGUUCGACCCACAGGCCCAACCGAUGCAUUUGAGGGGAGCCGCCUCACGGCAGCAGAG